rnacentral:rRNA from 1 species
UUGCAUAUCCAAUAGCGGAGGAAAAGAAACCAACAGGGAUUACCUCAGUAACGGCGAGUGAAGCGGUAAAAGCUCAAAUUUGAAAUCUGGCUCUUUUAGAGUCCGAAUUGUAAUUUGUAGAAGAUGCUUCGGGUGUGGUUCCGGUCUAAGUUCCUUGGAACAGGACGUCAUAGAGGGUGAGAAUCCCGUAUGUGACUGGAUACCUAUGCUCAUGUGAAGCUCUUUCGACGAGUCGAGUUGUUUGGGAAUGCAGCUCAAAAUGGGAGGUAUAUUUCUUCUAAAGCUAAAUAUUGGCCAGAGACCGAUAGCGCACAAGUAGAGUGAUCGAAAGAUGAAAAGCACUUUGGAAAGAGAGUUAAACAGUACGUGAAAUUGUUGAAAGGGAAGCGCUUGCAAUCAGACUUGCACUUGGUGUUCAUCAGGGUCUCGUACCCUGUGUACUUCAUCAAGUUCAGGCCAGCAUCAGUUUGAGUGGUUAGAUAAAGGCUUAGAGAAUGUGGCCCUCUUCGGGGGGUGUUAUAGCUCUAGGUGCAAUGUAGCCUACUUGGACUGAGGACCGCGCUUCGGCUAGGAUGCUGGCGUAAUGGUUGUAAGCGACCCGUCUUAACCCGGGAACCAA